GUGAGGAAUAUUGGUCAAUGGACGAGAGUCUGAACCAGCCAAGUAGCGUGAAGGAUGACUGCCCUAUGGGUUGUAAACUUCUUUUAUAAGGGAAUAAAGUGAGGGACGUGUCCCUUUUUGUAUGUACCUUAUGAAUAAGGAUCGGCUAACUCCGUGCCAGCAGCCGCGGUAAUACGGAGGAUCCGAGCGUUAUCCGGAUUUAUUGGGUUUAAAGGGAGCGUAGGUUGACAUAUAAGUCAGCUGUGAAAGUUUACGGCUCAACCGUGAAAUUGCAGUUGAUACUGUAUGUCUUGAGUGUACAAGAGGUGGGCGGAAUUCGUGGUGUAGCGGUGAAAUGCUUAGAUAUCACGAAGAACUCCAAUUGCGAAGGCAGCUCACUGGGGUACAACUGACACUGAGGCUCGAAAGUGUGGGUAUCAAACAGGAUUAGAUACCCUGGUAGUCC
rnacentral:rRNA from 1 species